GUUACCGGGAGCUGUAAACAAGGUGUGCAAGCAUCUGAAGAGCUGCCGGGAUGCAGCAGAGAGGAGCAGCUGGAAGCCGUGGCUGCGCUCUCUUCCCUCUGCUGGGCGUCCUGUUCUUCCAGGAUUCUUGAGAGGCUGAGGCAGAAGAAUCACUUGAACCUGGGAGGUCGGAGUUGCAGUGAUCUGGGAUUGCACCACUGCACUUCAGCCUGAGCGAUGGAAUGAGAUCCUGCCUCAAUAAAUAAAUAAAUAAAUAAAUAAAAAUAAAGUAAAUGGAAUUACACAAUAUGUGCUUUUGGUGACUGGCUUUUUUCACUUUGCAUGUUUUCAAGGUUCAUCCAUUUGUUUGGUGUUUUAAAUCUUAUGUGGUUGAGUUUGGUUUCAUGUCAGUGUUUAUUUGCCUUUUGUUUUCAAAGAUAAGACCACUUAAAUUAUUAGAUUAUUUGAAUUCUCCUUAAGUUAUAAGUCUGGUCCUGCUAUAUCAGUUAUCUAAGUAUUUAGAAAUGGUAGACUAGGGGACCUAGGUUUCUUAAACUUUUCUCUCUUUUACUUAGGUGUGCAAUAUGAAUAAAAUAUCAGUAGAUUUGUAUUUUAGAAAAUGGGGCAUACAAGAUUGGGGGCUUUAUUGACACAUUUAAUUCUUUCAUGUGUAAAAUUACUUAUGUGAA
rnacentral:lncRNA from 1 species